rnacentral:rRNA from 1 species
AUUGAACGCUGGCGGCAUGCUUUACACAUGCAAGUCGAACGGCAGCACGGGGCAACCUGGUGGCGAGUGGCGAACGGGUGAGUAAUACAUCGGAACGUGCCCAAUCGUGGGGGAUAACGUAGCGAAAGUUACGCUAAUACCGCAUACGAUCUACGGAUGAAAGCGGGGGAUCGCAAGACCUCGCGCGAAUGGAGCGGCCGAUGUCAGAUUAGGUAGUUGGUGGGGUAAAGGCUCACCAAGCCGACGAUCUGUAGCUGGUCUGAGAGGACGACCAGCCACACUGGGACUGAGACACGGCCCAGACUCCUACGGGAGGCAGCAGUGGGGAAUUUUGGACAAUGGGCGCAACCUGAUCCAGCCAUUCCGCGUGCAGGAUGAAGGCCUUCGGGUUGUAAACUGCUUUUGUACGGAGCGAAAAGGCUCUCUCUAAUACAGGGGGCUCAUGACGGUACCGUAAGAAUAAGCACCGGCUAACUACGUGCCAGCCGCCGCAGUAAAAC